rnacentral:rRNA from 1 species
GAGUUUGAUCGUGGCUCAGAUUGAACGCUGGCGGCAUGCCUUACACAUGCAAGUCGAACGGCAGCAUGAUCUAGCCUGCUAGAUUGAUGGCGAGUGGCGAACGGGUGAGUAAUACAUCGGAACGUGCCCUGUAGUGGGGGAUAACUAGUCGAAAGAUUAGCUAAUACCGCAUACGACCUGAGGGUGAAAGUGGGGGACCGCAAGGCCUCAUGCUAUAGGAGCGGCCGAUGUCUGAUUAGCUAGUUGGUGGGGUAAAGGCCCACCAAGGCGACGAUCAGUAGCUGGUCUGAGAGGACGAUCAGCCACACUGGGACUGAGACACGGCCCAGACUCCUACGGGAGGCAGCAGUGGGGAAUUUUGGACAAUGGGCGAAAGCCUGAUCCAGCAAUGCCGCGUGUGUGAAGAAGGCCUC